CUAUAAAUCUCCCUUCAGAUCUUGCUUCUUGUGUCCACCUUCGAAAUCUUUUCUUGUAGUGCUAGAGAUCUUUACUCCAAUAACUCACUCACUAUAGAUCGCAAUAUCAUGUCAGGUCGAUUUCGGGUCUUCACGAGUCCUGUGUCGGGUCCAAGUGGUCGCCGGUAAGGGUGGAGACUCGUUGUUGCUCUGAUAUGUCCAAGUUCUCCUUCAUGCUCCCUGUCUCUAUUUAUCUUCCUUGUCUGCUGUUCUGUCUGUGUCAUUCAUGUUCAAGUUGCUGCUGGGUGUGAGAAAUCACAAGGUGUCGAAGCUAGUGGUGAUGUCAUGAGCUUGGUCUGGUGCUGUUGAAGUGAUUUUCUUUCUCCUCUUGCGCUUGGUGCUCAUCUUUCCCUCUCCCCUGUACAGCCAUAAACUUUGACUCCUCCUCCCCUUUUCUCCAUCAUUCACGCUUCAAGGGUGUGUGGAAGAAGAGAAUUCUGAUAGUAAUUGAAGGAAGAAAGUCUUUGAAAACUGAAAGUCUGACAUGUUUAAUAUCUGUGAUUGAUUUCAUGGCUGCAAGCUGCAUUUGAUGAAGAUGAAUGCAUUGACGUUCUUGAAGAAAAUUACUCAAAAUUUGAGUUUUCAAGAGCUGAUGGUGGAAAAGAAUCAAGAAGAAUGGAUUUGAAGAAUGUCUUGUAUAAAGUUGGGUCAUCAAAAGCAAAAAAUUUAACAGUAAAACAUCAGUUUAUGUUAAUAGUAAGAUAAAAUUGCACUUUUUCUACAAGUUUUAG